AGGAGGGCUACGUUUUUCACUCCAAUGGCAUUGGAAAUAUUAAUGCGCUCAUACGGUGAGUUUGAGCACGUUUUUAGAAGGAAGUGUAACACCGCUGCAGCAGCAAAAGCGAGGGAGGCGGCGUGGGAGAACAUUGGUGCUCAGGUCAAUGCGCGCAAUCCUGCGGGGGAGAAGCGCACUUGGCAGCAGCUUAAGAUGAAACAUAAAAACAUUGUUCAAACAGCCAACAGAGAGAAAGCAAAUGCACCGCCCAGCACCGCCACCUCUAACGGAGACAGAGGAGCUGGCCCUAAGCCAGAAUUUAGGAAGGCUGAGGGAAUACCUGGAGGGAGCUCAUCCUCUGAGCUCACACCCCAAGACACAAGUGCUUUUAUAAAAUGUAACACGCCUGGACCUAUAUUUUUUUUUAAGCCUAUUCAUAAAAAUAUUUAUUUCCCUUUCA